UACGUAGGGACCGAGCGUUGUCCGGAUUCAUUGGGCGUAAAGAGCUCGUAGGCGGCCACUCAAGUCGAAUGUGAAACCUCGAGGCUUAACCUCGAGCCUGCAUUCGAUACUGGGCGGCUAGAGUCUGGUAGGGGGAUCUGGAAUUCCUGGUGUAGCGGUGGAAUGCGCAGAUACCAGGAGGAACACCGGUGGCGAAGGCGGGUCUCUGGGCCGUAACUGACGCUGAGGAGCGAAAGCGUGGGGAGCGAACAGG
rnacentral:rRNA from 1 species